GGGUCAGCAGAAGUGGGAGGGAGCACGAGAGUGUGUGAGGACUUAAAUAUCAUUAAAACCCAUUACAUAUAAAUAGAAAAGAAAAGCCUUGGCAAGUGCCUACCAGAUAUGGAAAAACGUGCUCCUUUCUGCUUGUCUGAAUUCUGUGUGGCCUAUUUGCAUGAGUUCCUUUCUUCUUUUACUAAUUGCGGUAUUUUUUUUUUCCUUAAACUGGGUAAGCGUCUGGGAGAUAUUUGGCAGAUUGCAGGAGAGUCAUGUCCUAGAUGGGGAGUCACCCAAACCAAAGCUGAGCUGAGUACCUGGCAAAGACGGUUGAAACUUCAGGACAGCCUGGGUGAAAUGCUCCAGCCUUAUUGGGAAAGGACACAUUUGAGUAAAAGCCAUCUUUGGAGGAGCAGCACCCUAUAGAGGCCACCCACUGGCCCCAGGAGCAAGGGCAGUGUGGGAGGCUGACCAGCCUAGGUGACUCAGAAGCAAAAAGAGAAGGGUGCUGGGAGCUUGGGAGACUGCUCAGUUACUGACUCAUCUGCACAGUCUGUGGUGAGGUCACCAGCCAGCCUCCUGUUCCACCCCAACACCCCGGAACCAAACACAGAGGGGGUACCACUGCCCAUCUCCAGAAGCAGAGGAGCCAGAAUCAUGGCCUUUCUAACUGUGAUUGUUGUGUCUGCUGUUUGAAAGAAGAAUAGAGGAAUAUACCAAGCUUGUGGUCUAGACUUUGAUACAG
rnacentral:lncRNA from 1 species